UAGCGGAGCGUGUGGUUUAAUUCGAUAUUACACGAAAAACCUUACCAGGGUUUGACAUGUAGGUGGUAGUGAAGCGAAAGCGGAACGACUCUUCGGAGAGCCUGCACAGGUGCUGCAUGGCUGUCGUCAGCUCGUGCCGUGAGAUGUUCGGUUAAGUCCGCUAACGAGCGCAACCCCUGCUGUGUGUUACAAGUGUCACACGGGACUGCCGGUCUUAAGCCGGAGGAAGGUGGGGAUGACGUCAAGUCAGCAUGGCCUUUAUAUCCUGGGCUACACACACGCUACAAUGGGUGGUACAACAGGUUGCGAAACCGCGAGGUGGAGCCAAUCCUUAAAGCCAUCCUCAGUUCAGAUUGUAGGCUGCAACUCGCCUGCAUGAAGAUGGAGUUGCUAGUAACCGCAUAA
rnacentral:rRNA from 1 species